rnacentral:misc_RNA from 1 species
GAAAUGCGAUAAGUAAUGUGAAUUGCAGAAUUCAGUGAAUCAUCGAAUCUUUGAACGCACCUUGCGCUCCUUGGUAUUCCUUGGAGCAUGCCUGUUUGAGUAUCAUGAAAUCUUCAAAGUAAAUCUUUUGUUAACUCAAUUGGUUUCUACUUUGGUAUUGGAGGUCUUUGCAGCUUCACACCUGCUCCUCUUUGUUCAUUAGCUGGAUCUCAGUGUUAUGCUUGGUUCCACUCGGCGUGAUAAGUUAUCUAUCGCUGAGGACACUGUAAAAGGUGGCCAAGGUAAAUGCAGAUGAACCGCUUCUAAUAGGCCAUUGACUUGGACAAUACUUUUAUGAUCUGAUCUCAAAUCAGGUAGGACUACCCGCUGAACUUAAGC